UCUUAUUAUACUUUAUUAAUCUACUCAAAAUUACUUGCACAUUACUAAAAUUUCAUUCCGACAAUAUAUCAAGCGCCUGAAUAAGUGACAUUAAAGUAAACAUAUAUCAGAGAGGAAAUAAGAAGAACUGACGCCUAUGGUCUUCUAUGUUACAGAGCUAGUGCUACACCAUACGGCCAAAUGCCGAAAAUGGCUAGGAUAUCCCAGAGAGAGUAGUGCUGCACCAUGCAGCCAAAUGCUAAUAGACGAAUAUGCGGCUGCUUCUGUUCCAAAUAUCUCCGUUACUGUGCCUGUUGACGGAAAUCGGCGCGGCUGGGAUCGGUAAAGCAUGUCAGAUCCUGCCAUACGCGACCGAUUCCUGGAAUCACCCAUCAUGGCCACGGCUCGACUCUUCCGCGUUCGAAGUUCGCAGCGUGACCGGAGUUGGUCAUCUCAAUCCCUUGUUUAAUUGUUGAUUUUUUUAAAUCUUUGUUUAUUAAUUCCAGGUUUUUUACAUAUUUUUUUUUUUUUU